ensembl:misc_RNA Metazoa_SRP Metazoan signal recognition particle RNA
GCCGGGCAUGGUGGCUCAUGCCUGUAAUCCCAGCACUUUGGGAGGCUGAGGUGGGCGGAUCAUUUGAGGUCAGGAGUUCAAGACCAGCCUGGCCAACAUGGUGAAACCCCAUCUCUA